CCUAAAUUCUUAUCGCCUCAUUCUUUUCCUUCACUGCUUCACAUAGAAACCCUAGCCUCCGUGUUCCUUGCUUGAAGCUUCUACAUCUCAUUUUCUCCGAAAACAUUCGCUUGUGCUUGAAUCGACUGUUCCAUCGUAUGAGGAAGAUGGUGAUGGUGGUGGACUGUUUCAUCUUCUACUUCACGCUUCCUACUCGUCUUCCUAAACCCUAGCAUUCCUCCCAUUCGUCUCUCAACUAGAUCACCAUUUUUUUCUUCGAUGGAUUCACGAUUGUUUGGUUUUAGGAUUUCAUUUAUCAUUACAAACUCGAUCCAAGAUCUGACUCUACUCCAAUCAUCCUCAGUACCAUCGACAACCUAACUAGAAAAAGGUUAACAUGUGAAAGUUCGAGUCUUUCCUACUUCAAGUUCACCUUGCUGUUACACACUGGCACGUAGAUAUCACCUGUUUGAGAUUAUUUAUUAAUUUUUGUCGUGUUUUUGUUUAGUAAUUUUGUGAAAUUCGUCGACAUUGUUAUUGUGUUGUUUUUUUACUUGAUUGUUUUUGUUAUAUGGAUUUUGUGCGAUUGUUGAUUUUAGUUUGUGAAGUUUGUUGAAAAUGGGAAUCUAGGGCUUUUUUAGUAAGAUUUUAAGGCCUUUUUUGUACAGAGUGGUAAAUUUGAAUCUGAAUUGACAUUUCGAUAGGUGGAGUUUGUUUUAGUUUUUCAGAUCUUGCAAUUAGUAGGGAGAAAGAUGACCACAUAAGGUUAUUAAAUUUAAUUACUUUUGGUCUUAUUUUUCAAGUUUUUUAACAUCAGAAGACGACUCUGACUCUGCUUCAAGGUCAUGGAGUACUAGAAUGUGUUUUGUCACGAUUUUAGGGUUUGUGGGAGACAUGGGAGUUGAUUUUGCUAUUUUUGCAGAGAAAGUAAACCGUUUUUUGUAGAGGAAGUCAACUUUCUCUCCUCUUCACAUCUUCAAGCACUGAUGCAAUUCUACUGAGUUCUAUAUCCAAGAUGGUGAUAUAAGAAUACAAUCUCAUUAUGUAAAAAAGGAAGGAAUUAUGGAUUUUAAUAAUCCUAACUAUUAGUUGUUGGCCGACAACGGUCCCAACUAAAAAAUAACCAGUGGUGGUCCCACCUUUUCAUAUAUUGUAAGCCAAUGGACUUUUACUAAACCGAAAAGGAUAAGGGGGCAAAAAGAAAUUAAGGUUUUGUUAGUAAAAAGUCCAUUAGUUUACAACACGUGAAAAGGUAGGACUACCACUGGUUAAUUUUUAAGUUGGGCCAUUGCUGGCCAAUGGCUAAUACUUUGAAUUAUUAAAAUCCGUUAUUCCAAAAAAGAAUGUAAAUGUGGCGUGUUUUUUAGUUUUUACUAAUAGCCUUGACACGUGGCAGGUUUUUGUAUGAAAGAUGCAACAGACCGACUAAUUAAGAUGAUAGUGGAGGAGGUGGAGGAAAACGGGGAUGGUGGUUUUAUGACACCGUAGGAAGGAAGGUUGAGAGAUUCCAGAUUCGCUACGUAUCAACACCGUUAUCACUAAACUACUGCACCAACGCAUAAACCAGUUUUUAAAACAUUGCAUAAAUCCGGUUUUCAAAUGGAAGAUAUUGUAGUGGUGGGGAUCUCGGAACUGUUGCCCCAUCUAAAAAAGUUGCAGGUACAUUUUCACAACUUUUUCACCUUCAGAAAAUGUAAAAAAUUAGCCCCUAGAUAUCGAUCCAGAUUCACGCUCAACUGUUUUGGUGAUCAUUGGCAUCCUAUGGUGAACUCAAGGUGAAGGUUGGGAACAACAAUCACAUGUUUUGCUAGGCAUGUGUCGGACGCUAUUAUUAUUUGAGUAGAAAGAUUUUUAAGCGCUACUCACCACAUUUCGGUCCAAAGGAUUGCAAAAAAAAUAUACGAUUGUUUCUAUGCUAUUGGAAGACCGAUCUGUGAAUCCGGAUUCUUUGAAUCGUCAUAAAUAGUUGGGUCAAAUUUGGUAGACUCCAUUGAUGCCGGCUGCAAUGCAUGGGAAGAUUGAUUGUGUUAAAAAGCUCAUUGAAGCUAAUGCUAAUAUUUUGAUGUUUGAUUCACCAAAUGGAAGAACAUGCUUGCACUAUGCUGCUUAUUAUGGUCAUUCUGAUUGUCUCGAAACCUUUCUUUUCGCGGCCCGGACCUCUCAUGUUGCCGCUUCUUGGGGAUUCUCGAUAUUUGUGAAUAUUAGAGAUGGUUAAGGGGCAACACCUUUGCAUUUGACUGCCCGUCAAAAAGACGACCGCAAUGUGUUCAUAUACUUCUAGAUAGUGGAGCUCUUGUAUGUGCCUCUACCGGUGGCUAUGGAAGAGAGAUCGACAGCAACCCCAAAGAAAACAUCCACAGACCCUAUACCAAAGAUAAAUAGUUGCAAUGGGUUUUAUUGUGACUAUUUCCAUCCAAAUAACAAAGAAACCAAACCCACAGUGUGGACAAAGACUUGGAGUGGAUGGUUGAAGAAAAUUUUGGGAAUGCUCAACAUAUUGAACUUGAUUAGUACACAAACACAACAUUUUCCAACUUUGGUCAGGACCCAUUUGUUGAUAGUUCGAUUAGUAUUCCAGAGAUUGUCAUUGCACAACCAUCACGACUGUGAUCGCCAUAUUAUUCCGAUCAUAUGCUACCGGCUACGCCAUAGUUCAAUGGGUUGAAGUUGUCAACUUACCCAUACAUUUGUAGUGAAAAUUUUUGGAAGUUGCAUACUAGAGAAAAUUUCAACGAAAGUAAUGAAUUUUGAUGGAUGAAGGAAAGUAAUCUAUAUACAUGUUAAUACAUCAUUUUUUGUGUGAUUUUAAUUAUAUAUUAAAAGACUAUCCUCAUACCUUUUGGUUGGUUCUUUUUGUAGAAGGGACUCGAUUUACUCAGAAAGGUUUUGGCCACUUAAAGGAUAUGCAUAUUCAAAGGAACUCGACUAUCUUUAAAUUGUAAUUCCAUUUUGUCACUAAUGUAUGUAAUAUUACACUUUCUUUGUAUUUUAUUUUAUCUAUACACUUAAUGUUUAUC